AGAGAUGUUUGCAUUUGGGCCUGGUCCCUCUGGGCUAAAUGUUGUUUUUCUCUGUGGCCUCUACAAUUUUAGUUUCUGAGGGUCUCUGGAGGUUGAUGAAUGGAAAGGUGCUCUGGGCAGUAACUCCUUCAGUUUCGUUGGCAGGCUCCUCUUGGCCCCAAUCCAAAAGGAAAGCAUUUAAAAAGCCGCUGCCUGGGUGGCACCCAGUGCUCCUUAAGGGCUGACGCCCGCAAGUGGCCUGGGCAUCUGGCUCUUCAUAGCUUCCCAGAUGACUCUAACCAUGAGGCCAAAGCCCAGAAGCCACCCAAGCUGACCAGCUCAGCUAUCAAGAAAGCCUACGCUGUUUCCUGCUGUGCUACCAUUGGCUGAAGUCCACCACGGACCAGGCUGGCCACUGAGCUCUGGACACACUGGUCCACAUUGGUCAAUCUUGGACUAGUGAUAAGGCAACACAGGCUCAGAGAGGUGAAGGGACUAAUUCAGGUCUAGACAGCCAAGUUCAGGUUUGAAUCCUGAGGCUUUGACUCCGGUGACCACUGUGUGCACAUCUGCACUCAGAUGCCGCAUGAUUAGAAACUUGACAGCAAUUCAAUUUUUUAAGACUGAAGUAACAAACAGACAGCAAGUCCACCUCACCCAAUCCACUAGGUGCAUUGCAUUCAACCUUCUCUUGUCCUUCAUUUCCAUUGGUUGUGGGGAUGGAACUGUGGCCAGGAAUGGUGAGACUUAGACUGGAGGGAAGAGGCUUGGAGAAAGAAGGAGGGCUUUGGGAUCUGCUUGCUUCCCUUCUUGGGUUCCUGCUGAUCCCAGGGGAGCCUUUGGAACAAGAGCAGCUUCACAGCUCUGAAUUACCUUACAAUAGAGUGCAUGUAAUUACAAAAGCACAAAAUAAACAAAAAGCCAACAAGUUAAAUCGCUAAGUGUUUCUUCUUUUCUUACCUUCACUUUAACAAGAAGUUAAGGCUGCAUCUGCUGUCAGAGUCAAACAUUAGUAAGAUGUGUUUAAGGAGAAUAAAAGGUCAAACCACAGCUGGGAGAAAUGUUUGCAAAAGACAACGUGAUAAAGGACUAGUGUCCAAAGUAUACGAAGAACUCGAAAAACUCAACAGUAAGAAAACAAACAACCCAAUUAAAAAACGGAACAAGGACUUGAACAGACACCUCACCAAGAAAGACAGACAUACGAUUGGCAAGUAAGCAAAUGGAGGCAGGCUCCACAGUAAUGUGUCAUCAUGGAAACAAAAAUUAAAGCUGCAAGAUACCACCGCUUGCCUAUCACAACAGCAAAACUCCAGAACACUGACAGCACCACACAUCCGCAAGGAUGUGGAGCAGCAGAGUCGACAUUCACCGCGCCACCAGGAGCGAGCAGCUUCCUCUGCCCUGUGCCCCCACUAUAUUUACUGCCUCACUACAGACCCAAGUGCAGUCCGUCCCAGGAUCCUGACCUGCAGCCACCCCGAAGAGCCACACCUCUCAAGUACUGGACCAACUCCUAGGAGUGGAUUGGGAUGAGGAAUCAGAGACUACAAUCAGCAGGGAGUUCUGGUGUUCCUAGAUGCCUUGACCUAGAACAAAUUUCUUCACUUCUUUAAAUCUGUGUUUCCUCUUCUGUGUAAUGAGGACAAUAAUCGUAUUGUUUCCUGUAUGGAGGACUAUUGCACAUUCAAUGGGAAAUGAAUGUCAAGCCCUGCCACAGUUAGCUUUUGAUAACUAUGAUUAUGGUGAGUAUGCUGAAGACUCACAGCCCCGCCCCACCAGGAUGCUUUGAUGACGUCCUAAGACCUUGUCCAGGGGAGAGCCCUGCCUCAAGUCCAGUCUGGACCCUAAUACUCCACACUGGCAGCAAGGCUAUCAUAGCCUGGCAUCCUUGCUGGCAUGCUUGUGUUUCUCCCGCUGACCUGAAGAACUCAACUCCUUCAUCGUAUCCCUCACCGUCUUACUGUAUUCCUUUUCCUUAUUUCUAUAGCCUAAAAGCUUGUUCCAAGGUGCCUUGCUCUCAUUGAAUGCCCAUUGAUGCCUCUGACCAGCACCUUGGCUCCAGCAGUGCUCUGAUUUUAGAGAGGAUGAAGACUAUAUCUGGUCCCCUGAGUGCCCCCAGCCCAGUUUCCAUGAAAGCUGGCUGUGUCUUUGGCCCCACCCUCUCUGUGCUGGAGUUUCACUGUGGAAACACUGCUGUUUGUGGCUGCAGGGCAGCUCACAGGUGGCCUCUACAAACUCUGGAACUGUGCCUGUGUAAGCAACUGCCCAAGAUGAGUUACAUGCAUGAAGCUGCAUUUUCUGAGCCUUCCCUCCUCCUCCCCCCACAUUUCCCCAGAAGCUCUCUCCAUUCUUCCUUCUAAACUUUCCUGUGUGUUGAUGGGACUGACACACAUUUCCAGCUCAAAGUAUUUUUUGUUUUUGUUUUCUUCUUCUUUUUAUCCUCCCCCAUUUAUGGUGGUGCAUUCCUUUAAUCCCAGCACUCAGAAAGCACAGGCAAGUGAUCUCUGUGAGUUCCAGGACAGUCUGGUUUAUAUAGUGAGUUCUAGGCCAGUCAGAGCUACACAGUGAGCCCAUAUCUAAAAACAAAACAAAACAAAACAAAAAGCAAAUAAACAAACUGUCCUAGUUUGAUAAGACAUUCUGACCAAAAGCAACUUGGGGAGGAAAAAAGGUUUGUUUGGCUUGCACUUCCACAUCACACUCCAUCGUUCAGGCUGUUAUGUUUUUGUUUAAAUUAGAUAUAAAGAAAAAGAGGAGGCACAAGGUGAGACAUAUUAACCAAUUUAUUAUGGGCCCAGCAGAGUAGAAGGAGUAAGAGAGAAGAGAAACAGAGUUAAUGGCUGAGCGCCAUGGCCGGUCGCCAUAGAGAGAGAGAGAGAGAGAGAGAGAGAGACAGAGAGAGAGAGAGAGAGAAGAGAAGCAGAAGCAAACAGAGAGAGGAGAAGAGCAGAGAGAGAGCGAAGAAGAAGCAGACAGAGAGCGAAGCAGGGAAGUUGGAACAGGCAAGCCAGAGCAGGAACUCAAGGCAGGAACCUGGAGGCAGGAACUGAUACAGAGGCCAUGGAGGAGUGCUGCUCACUGGUUUGCUCCCUAACUUUCUCAUACAACCCAGGACCACCUGCCCAGGGUAAUAACGCCUGCUAUGGCUGGGCCCUGUUGAGCAUCCCAUAUCGAUUGUUAAUCAAGACACCUACAGGCCCAUCCAAUUUCAGCUCAUUCUUCCCACAUGAUUCCAGCUUGCAUCAAGUUGUUUAAAUAACAAACAAAAACAAACAAAAAACCUAACCAGCAUACCAACAAUGUCAAGUUAUGAAAAAAAAAUUAAAAAACCAACUAACCAACACACACACACACACACACACACACACACACUAAACCUAAAAGAAUAUUUUUAAAUUUCCUAUCUCAAAAACUUGUUUUGAACUUUGGUUUUUUGAGAUAGGGUUUCUCUGUGUAGCUUUGGAGCCUAUCCUGUCACUCGCUCUAGAGACCAGGCUGGCCUCGAACUCACAGAGAUCCGCCUGCCUCUGCCUCCCCAGUACUGGGAUUAAAGGCGUGCGCCACCAACGCCUGGCGUUUUGAACUUUUAUUGAGGUUACAUAUAAGAUAUAUAAUAAGGAACACAGAUUUCAAGACUAUAGUCCAGUGAAAUGUUGCACUUCUCACACACAUGCAUAACUAUACAUAAACACACACAUGUACAUAUAAAAGCUUAUACAAUCUUACUUCUCAGGUUGUGAUACAAAGCAUUUUCAGUGUCCCACAAGUUCCCCCAUGCUCCUUCUCUGUUAAUGUAGCAUCCCCUCACACACAACUUUGAGAACUUUAUCAACACAGGUUGGUUUUUUUUUUCCCCCUGUUUUUAAAAACACCUGAAUGGGACCAGGUAAUACACACUCAGUCACAUGUGUGUGACUUAGUACAUGUCUAUGAAGGUCUUCAUGUUGUGUAUAUCAGCAAGUUUCAAUUGCUGUGUGUUAGUCUGGUGCAUGAAUAUUUCAUUUUUAAUUCUACUACUUAUAGGCAUUUGGGCAGUUUGCAUUUGGGAGCUGUUUGGAAUUAGCUUUCUACGGACAUUCACAUACAUGAUUCAUGUUCACACAUUCUCUUGGCUGUAUACCCAGCAAUAUAAUUGACAGCUCCCAGGGCACACAUAGGUUAGCCAUAGUAGAUAUUGCCAAAAUAUGUUCCAAAAUAUUGCACUAACUUAUACUCCUACCAGUAAGGUAUGAGUGGGUUAUUACUCAAUGGCCUUGUCAACACUUCCUCUUGUUACUCUUAAUUUUAGUCAUUUGGGUGGGUGUGUAAUAGUAUUUCAUUGUUAUUUUAAUUUGUAUCUCCUGAUGAAUAGUGUGUUAAGUGACUUUUAUAUGCCAUUGGCCACUUGGAGAUCUUGUUUAGCAAGGUGCCUGCUUGAAUGUUUCACUCACUGGAAAAGGGCAGAUUGUUUUAUCUGUGUUACUUGUCUCAGCUUUUACUACAUACCCCGGCACUAACCCAUCACCAGGUGUGAGCAUCUUUUCUCUGUGACAUGCUUCUUCCCUCUCCUAAUGCUCCUAGUAAAGACGAGGCUUUUUUCAUGUUAAUAUAGUCUAGUUGAUCUUUUUUUUUUUUUUUUUCAGUGCUUUCAUUAAAGCCAGAGACUUGUACCUGGUAGGCAAGAGCUUUACCGUGAGCCAUAACCUAUCCUCAUACUCGUCUUUACUUAAUUCUCUGUCUUAACUCUCCAGUAGCUUUUAUAAUUUUAUUUGUAUCUAUCCAAAGAUUUCAAUACCAUAUGUCUUCAUGAGAGAUUUUUGUUGUUGUUGAUCCAGUUCAUAACAGAGAGAUUCUUUCAAGUUGAAUGUGCUUAUCCUUCAGCACUGAAGGUUCUCAGCUCCUUAACCAUCAUCUCUCUUGUAGUCUCUCUCUUGGAGCUUUUGAGAGCCUUUUAUUAUAGAUUCCUGGUCUCUUACAUUUUCUUGUAUGCUUUUUAUCUCUCCUCUCUGUAAUCAGUACAUGUUGGAUGUUUUCCUCAGGAAAUCAUUUAUUUAUUUGUUUGGUUUGUAUUUUUAAGUGUGUGUGUGUGCAUGUGUGUGUAUGUGUGUGUGUUAUGUCUGUGUAUAUGUGUGUCCAUGCGUGCAUUCGUGCGUGCGUGUGUGCAUGGGUGUGUGUGUGUGUGUGUGUUGGGAAGUAGCCAUAGAAACAGAGAAUGAUUUAGACACAGAAGUCAAGAGAAAUUCUCUGGAGGAGCAGCAAAGACCACUGAUCACUGUGAAGGAGAAAAAAGAAUAGGGAUGAACAUGGGCUCCUGUCCUGAGUCCCCUGCGGGGACAGAGUUCUCAACCUGCAAGAGAGGAGAGAAUAUGGCAUGAAGUAAAGCAGAGGACUCUACUUCCUGACUGAAAAUCUGACAGGGACACAAGAGACAGAAUGAUACUGAUUACAGAGAAGACACUGGAGUGUGGACCUCAGCCUGGAGCUAAGAUUUUAUCUCUUUGCCUGCCCACCUGUCCUGCUCACCUGUCCAUCUGACCUGCUCUCUUGUCCUUCUGUCCUGCUUUGCCAUGUCAUUCUGGGGAUUAUAAAGCAGUUACGUUCUUGAUUAAGAAGUUCUUUUACUAUAGGAUAAUUUUCACUAAACUCUUUCUUUUCUAGAGUUCUCUUGACCCUUUCUUUCGAGGCACUUCCUGCCUCGAAUUCCCUCAGUGAUGGACGAUCACUUGGAAGUGUAGGAUGAAAUUAUCCCUUUCCUUCCCCAGGUGUUUUUGGUAUUUUAUCACAGCAACAAAGAGCCAACUAGGAUAUGUGGUAAAAUGUGAGUCAUAAAAAAUAUGAGACAGGGUGGGGAGAAGAGGGAACAGCCAAACAGGAAAGCAGAGAAGGCAGAGAAGAGGGAGGAAGCAGAGAGGUGCAGGACACAGGCCAAGAGAUAGGUUAUUUAAUGGUGGUACUACAGGACCCGUGACACUUGAGGCCCAGAAUGACACUGCUAUGGUCAUAGCCCACAUUGCAGCAUGUCUCUGCAGACUCUAGACACUGUAUGUCAGUCCAGGCUGCUACUGGCCAUCCUCCUUAACCUUACAUGUAUCUAGUUAUUACUGUUAACUUGCGGGCAGGGCAGUACAGUGACUUCAGGAUCCCUCAUCCAAAGGGGAUCCUUGGAUCUCAAGUGUAUGACUUAUCACUAACUUUCUCUUCCUUGGACUGAGAGCCCUUGGCUUCAUAUCUCCUCCAUGACAUUGAUCUUUGGUGGGGUCCUUCAUAAGAGACAAGCAGUGAACAUAAGUGGCAACCCUACCCCAGAAAUCACAGCGAUGACCCGGUUUCAGAUUUUUGCUUUGCUGUAGCACCCUCCAAGGUGAACUGAGUUGGUGAAUGAAAUGAAUGCCAACAUGACUGUCAGAGAAAGUGGCUAUUGGAGUGAAGGUAGGACAGGUCUCUUGGAGUCAACAACAGCUUGUGUGACUCAGUCCUUGAGCAGAAGCAGUGUUGAAAGCCCAGCUGGUAGCCAGAAUCCUUAGUUACAGCGGAGCUGCAAAAACAACAGAGAACAACAGACAGCUGACACCCCGCCUAGGUUGCUGGCCACAAAGGUCACCAUUCAGGGUUCAGGGGAGAAAGCCUCAAUGUGAACCCUCUGGAGAGCAAUCUCCUUUCUGGGAAGCUUUGCAUUCUUUGGGGUCCAGAUGGAAGUGCUGGAACCACUCCAAGAGUCUCCCCAAAUAGUGUUUGGGUGAAAUGAAUGCAUAGAAAGUUCUAGGAAGGGCCUUGCACAUCUUCCCUACUUCCCUGGUGGGCUCUAAAGUAUUCUCAAUAGAAACUGUGGGGGCAGAAUAGCAAGGAAGAGGGGGUUAGGAUUUUGUUGAAUCCUCUCCACCAAGGGAGGGAUGCAUUUGUUUAAAUUGAUAUUUGUGAGUCUGGAGAGAUGGCUCAGUCCUCUUCUAGAGGACCUGGGUUUGAUUCCUAGCAUUAAAAUAGUGGCUCACAACUGUCUUAACCCUAGUUACAGGGGAUUGAAGGCUCUCUCCUGGCCUGCAGGAGCAUCAGAUACAUACAUGGCUUGUACAUGACAGGCUAAACACCUAAACACAUAAAAUGAUUCAAAACACUAAAUUUCCACUUGUUCUUUAAGAACUUGCUAAAGAUCCAUCUCCUCCAGUCUGUUUCCUCUGGACUUCUGAUCCUCCCUCCUGUCUCAUGAUGCCCUCUUCUGCAUUCCCGAAGCCUGUGCACAAUAUCUAUUACCACUCAAACCACUCUGUGCUGUGCUUGGCGGUUCUAUUUUUACUCUUUGCCACCUAACCAUCAGUAUCCCUCGGCAGGUCUUACUAGUUGACUUUCUGCUCCAGCUUCUAUGAAGUGGUCCAGCACUCGGGAGUAACAAAUAAAAAUUGAACUGAAUCGUUCUUAGAAACGUUGGGGUGGCUUAUUUUGGAAUUGUGAAAAUUGAUUAUCCUAAAAGUCUCUGCAGGUAAGAAUCAUUUGUAUGUAUGGAUCACAUGUGUAAUUUAAUGUCCCCGACACCUUGUCCAUCAUUGCUGGAACCUCACAAGCUGUGCAGGCAUUUGUGAAGCUAGCCAGGAAUCCCAGGCACGAGUGAGGAGAAAGCCUGCCCUGCAUCUGCCCGUGCACCUGGCUUGCAGAUAUCUCCCACAAAUUAGACAUGGACUAUGUUGCUUAAUUCUUAUCAAUUUGACACACUUGGGAAGAAAGAGUCUCAACUGAGAAAUUGCCUCCAACAAAUUAGCCUGUAGGCAACUCUGCUGGGCAGUUUCUUGAUUGGUAACUGAUGGGGAAGAGCCCUAUCGUUUGUAGAAAGAGCUACUGCUGGCCAAGUGGCCCUGGGUGGAAUGAGCAAGCAAGCUGAGUGAGCUGUGGAAGGCAAGCUAGCAAGCAGUACUCCUCCAUUGCCUAUGCUUCAGUUUCUGCUUCCAGGUUCCGGCCUUGACUUCCUGCUGUGACUUCCCGUCACGGUGGACUAUUAACUGUAAGAUGAAAUAAACCCUUCCUUCCCUAGGUUGCUUUUGGCCAUGGUGUAUAUCGCAUCAAUAGAAAGCAACCAGGACCAGAGCUCUUCAUUCUUGAAAUGUUUUCUCAUUGUGAAUUUCCUUCUGGACAGCUCCCCUCUGGGAUUCUAGAAUUAUCUAAACAGAACACCAAGGGGCCUGAAAUUGCCAUGAAAUAGAAGAACUUGAGAAAUUUUACCAACACCUUCUUCCUCUCAGAACUGCAAGGCAUAGAGUCCUGGCAGAGGUGUUCACUGUGGGCUCUUUGUUGCCAAUACUGGGCAAGGCACCCCCCUCAGCAAGUGAUGGCUGGUACUGUCUGUUGCACCCUCUUUCUUAUCAUUUUAGAAUUGGGGAGAAGAGCUCACAUGUCACACUUAUCUGCAGUUAACAGCUUGCCCUGGAGGCAAGGACUGGGCUGGGCUAAUACUUAGAGGAGGACGGGCAGCCUGAUGAGUAGACACCACAGAGAGAAGGGCAGGGUCAGGGAUGCACUACCUCCUGCCUUGUGAUCUUACUCAGCAUCUUGAUUGUUCAGAGUUGCUUUCAAAGCUCCUGGUUCAUGUGUCCUACCUGCCAAUGCCCUUCCUGCAAAGCCAUGGGGCAGGACAGCCUUGGUUCCACAAGGACUUUUUUUCUCUUUGAAGACAACAAGGGACUGGUAACAUAAAUGAAUAAUAUAAUAAGCCAGGCAUAGGAAUAGGAAUAGGAAUAGGAAUAGGAAUAGGAAUAGGAAUAGGAAUAGGAAUAGGAAUAGGAAUAGGCUGCCACACAUCCAGUUAAAUCUGUAUUUCAAAUAAACAAAUAGUUAUUUUUUAACAUACUUAUGUCUCAACUAUUGUCUAGGAUAUACUUAAGCUAAAUAUUAUUAUUAUAUAAGUCUAUAUAACUGUACACUUAAAAAUAGUUAAGGUGAGCCAGUGUGAUAGUUCAGCAGGUAAAGACUCUUGUUGCCAAACCUGACAACUUGAGAUUGAUCCCUGAAACCACAUGGUAGAGAGACAAUCAACUCCUGAAAGUUGUCCUCUGACCUCUGCACAGAUGCUGUGCCACACCUGCAUAUGCACACACAGACACACACAGACACAGACACACACACACACACACACACACACACACACACACACACACACGUAUAUAUAAUGUAUAUAUAUGUAUAUUUAUAAUGAAUUCUAAUUAAAAGCAGUUAGGAUGGUUUUAUUUUUUUCUUUCUCUCCAUUUUUAUUUAAAUUAGAAACAAGAUUAUUUUACAUGCCAAUCCCAGUUCCCUCUGCCUCUCCUUCUCCCCUGCCCUCUCCCCUGCCCCCCCACCCCAACUAACACCCUACCUAUCACAUACCCUUUCUGCUCUCCAGGGAUGGUGAGGCCUUCUGUAGGGGUCUUCAGAGUCUGUCAUAUCCUUUGGGAUAGGGCCUAGGCCCACUCCCUGUGUCUAGACUCAGGGAGUAUCUCUUUAUAUGGAAUGGGCUCCCAAAUUCUAUUCCUCUGCUAGGGAUAAGUACUGAUCUACUACAAGAGGCCCCGUAGAUUUCCGAGGUCUCCUCACUGACACCCACAUUCAUGGGGUCUGGAUCAGUCCUGUGCUGGUUUCCCAGCUAUCAGUCUGGAACCAAGAGUUCCCCCUUGUUCAGGUCAGCUGUUUCUGUGGGUUUCACCAGCCUGGUUUUGAUUCCUUUGCUCAUCAGUCCUCCUUCUCUGCAACUGGAUUCCAGUUCAGUUCAGUGUUUAGCUGUGGCUGUCUGCUUCUACUUACCCCAGCUGCUGGAUGAAGGCUAUAGGAUGGCAUAUAAAUCAGUCAUCAAUCUCAUUAUCAAGGGAGGGCAUUUAAGGUAGCCUCUCCUCUGUUGCUUAGAAUGUUAGUUGUAUCAUCAUUGUAGAUCUACAGACAUUUCCCUAGUGCCUGAAUUUCUCUUUAAACCUAUAAUGGCUCCCUGUAUUAUGGUAUCUCUUAUCUUGCUCUCCUCUUUCCCCCAACUCAAACUUCCUGCUCCCUCAUGUCCUCCUCACCCCUCCUCUUCUCCCUUUCUCAUUCUCCAGCUCUCUCUUUCCUCCCCUCAUGCUCCCAAUUUGCUCAGGAGAUCUUGUCCCUUUCCCCUUCUCCAGGGGACCAUGUAUGUCUCUCUUAGGGGCCUCCUGUUUCCUAGCUUCUCUGGCAGUGUGGAUUGUGGGCUGGUAAUCCUUUGCUCUAUGUCUAAAAUCCAUAUAUGAGUGAGUACAUACCAUGUUUGUCUUUUUGUGACUGGGUUACCUCACUCAGAAUGGUUUCUUCUAAUUCCAUCCAUUUACCUGUGAAUUUCAAGAUUCCAUUGUUUUUUCCCCCACUGAGUAGUACUCCAUUGUGUAAAUGUACCACAUUUUCUCUAUCCAUUCUUCAGUUUAGGGACAUCUAGGUUGCUUCCAGGUUCUGGCUAUUACAAAUAAUGCUGCUAUGAACAUCGUUGAGCAGAUGUCCUUGUUGCAUGAAUGUGCUUCUUUGGGGUAUAUGCCUAGGAGUGGAAUUGCUGGAUCUUGUGGUAGAUUCAUUCCCAUUUUCCUGAGGAAUCGCCAUACUGAUUUCCAAAGUGGCUGUACGAGUUGGCACUCCCAUCAGCUGUGGAGGAGUGUUCCCCUUUCUCCACAUCCUCUCCAGCACAAACUGUAAUUGGUGUUUUUGAUUUUGGCCAAUCUGACAGCAGUAAGAUGGUAUCUCAGAGUUGUUUUGAUUUGCAUUUCCCUGAUGGCUAAGGAUAUUGAACACUUUCUUAUGUGCCUUUCAGCCAUUUUAGAUUCCUCUAUUGAGAAUUGUCUAUUUAGUUCUGUACCCACUUUUUAAUUGGAUUAUUUGGUGUUUUGGAGACUAGCUUCUUGAAUUCUUUGCAAAUUUUGAAGAUCAACCCUCUGUCAAAUGUGGGGUUGGUGAAUAUCUUUUCCCAUUCUGUGGACUGCCGUUUUAUCUUGCUGACUGUGUCCUUUGCCUUACAAAAGCUUCUCAGUUUCAGGAGGUCUUAUUUAUUAAUUAGGAUGGUUUUUAAAAACUUCGUGUUACAUCUGAGAGACUAUGGUAACUGGGUGCCCUGCAUUUCUGUGUGCUAACCCGGACCCUGUCAAAGGGAAGGCAGGACAUCCCCUCCUACUCUGCCUUUCAUGCCAGUAUUAUACACAUAGCCUGAAGGACUCUUCUGGAUUUGGAAUUGGAAUCAGGCUUCUACUGAGAAAGGACGAGCCCCAGAGUCUAGGAGGAAGAAGAGAUUCUGGAUCCAGAGCCUGGGAAGCCACAAACCCUGAGGAGGGGCCCACUGGGGUGCCUCAUGGGCCCACAGAGGCUGCCCUCCAGGGAGGGAAGACAGACUGAAUCCCAGGUGCUGACAGAUCCUGCAGGAUGGGCCCUGGCAGAAGCCAGGAAUCAAUGACCUGGAUAUAGCUGUCACCACCUCCUUGCCUCUUGGCAGUUACACCUGGCAGUCUUAAGACUGCAAAGCCAUGCUUAGGUGCUCUUGAAACUGAAGCAAACGUCAGGUACACAGAAAAAUCUGUGCUUAGUCAAAAUACCAGAGUGAGCAAUUAUGUUAUCUGUUGACACGAGGAUAGGCCAUAGGCUUUCUUUAGUUAGUGAACUCCCCUCAUGCAUUUAGAACAGGAUUCUAUUUAGAGAAGGAAGAAUAACAGGAUUGUCACAGCACCAUGAGGAAGGGCAGGGAUGGUGAAAGCAAGUUUGUCUUCUGUGAGGGGAAGGGCUGGAGACAUCUGCAGGGAACUAGGAUGGCUCUGUGUGUGUGUGUGUAUGUGUGUGUGUGUGUGUGUGUGUGUGUGAGAGAGAGAGAGAGAGAGAGAGAGAGAGAGAGAGAGUGUAAGUGAGUGUGUCAGCCAUCCCACUCCUUUCUGGAUCUUCAGAGCCAGUCUCUGUAUCACAGUAACACACAGUCACAUUGUGAGUGUGAGGUAAGGCUGCUGUGAGCUUCAUGUUUGGAUAAGGCAUGCCUGUGUACUGGAACCCUGGUCCCUGUGUAAGGUGGCAAUGUGUGGGAACUCCAAGGGAUGAGUCUAGGAAAUAGCAGUCAGGCCGUGAUCUGUGAUAUUGUAGCACAGAUAAAAAAAGAAAGACCUGUUUAGGGGGCUGACAGGUUAAUACUUGUGGCCAAGCCGCAAUUGUUGUCAGGGUUAGCUACAUUGUAGAUAUGUAUGAAACACACUUACCUUUAGGUUGCUCAUUUAUGAAAUAUUAAAAAUCUCUUACAUCUGUAAGUAAACAUCUUAUUUCAAUGAAGUCUUUAUCCAACACACAGUAGCUGUAUCUAGCGCACAGUAGGUGUUUAGCAUAUUGGUUUCUUUUUCUUCUCUGGGACAUAACAUCUGAAAGAAGCGAUUUCUUUCUUUCUGAGACAGGGUUUCUCUGUGUAACAGUCCUGGCUGUCCUGGAACUUGCUUUGUAGACAAGGCUGGCCUCGAACUCACAGAGAUCCACCUGGCGUCUGCUUCCCAAGUGCUGGGAUUAAAGGCAUGCACCACCACCACCUGGCCAACAGAAGCAAUUAAAGGGAGAAAGAUUUACUUUGACUGAUGUCAUGGUUUUAUCCCUCAUGGUUGCAAGAGAUGGGAGCAGAACUACUUAUAGGACACUGGACCAGAAACAGGAGAAAGGGACCAGACACAAGUCACGUGGUCCUUCCCUUGUGACACACCUCCACCAGCCAGGCCUCUCAACUUCCCAAAACAGCACCAGCAGCUGGGGACCAGAUUCAAAUAUGGGAGCCUGUGAGGACCACUUCAGAUUAGAACCAUAACCUAGUGUUUGUUGAAUGACUAAAGUAAAUGAAAAUUGGGAAUUCAUAGUAUAAAAUAAGACAGAGAUUAAGUACUCAUAAGGAAAAACAAACAAACAAAGAAACAAACAAAAAACUGGUCAACAUCCAUCCCUAGGGAUGUUAUUUUUUCUCCUUUGAAGUUUGGGUUUUCAUUUCCUGACAUGUUCAACUAUGGUAAAAAAUAUUAAAUAGUAGGUUUUUUAAAGAUUUUAUUUAUUUAUUAUGUAUACAACAUUCUGCUUCCAUGUAUAUCUGGACACCAGAAGAAGGCACCAGAUCUCAUAACAGAUGGUUGUGAGCCACCAUGUGGUUGCUGGGAAUUGAACUCAGGACCUCUGGAAGAGCAGCCGGUGCUCUUAACCUCUGCGCCAUCUCUCCAGCCCUAAAUAGUAGAUUAUAGAAACAAAAUAUUCAUACAUUUCAGAUUGCAUUCUGUACUGAAUAAUGGGAUGAGGUCUUGUACCAGCCUACUGUCCUGCACAGGAUGUGAAUGGCCCCUUGUCAGUGUGCCCAUGCUGCAAGUGCCACCUGCCUGCUAGCCACUUGGCACACGCCUCCAUCAGCUAGAUGGCCUGGUCUCUGGGUACCUGUGCUCAGGGCAUUCUUAAUGUACCCCGUGACGACCCAGAGUGCAUAACUAAUGUUGCCAGUGACUCAGAUCUGCCAAAGAGAGCCUGGGAAGUGAAAAUGCUAAGGCACAAUAAGAUUGUAAACAAACAAAUAGUUCUAGCCAGGUUUCAUUGUGAGACUCUGGCUACCUUGCACUGUCGACCAGGCUGGCCUUGAACUCAGAGAUCUGCCUGCCCCUGCCUCCUGAGUGCUGAGAUUAAAGACAUUUGCUACCAAGUCCAGAAUCAUAAGAUAUUGAGAGAGAGAGAGAGAGAGAGAGAGAGAGAGAGAGAGAGAGAGAGAGUCCAUGUAACUAUUGCUUUAUUGUUUUCUUAGUUUCAUUUCUUUUAUAAUAAGAUACCCUGGGGAAAAGCAGCUCUGGGGAGAAAGAGGUUUAUUUCAGCUCAUAGGUCACAGCCCAUCGUUGUGGGAAAGUCAAGGCAAACACUUCAGCUAGUCACAGCACAUCCACAUCAGAAGCAGAGGAAAUGUUCACAUGCUCACUUGCUGUGCCCAGUUCUGUUUCUCCACUCUUACACAGUUCUGGACCCCCUGCCUAGGGAAUGGUACCAUCAACACUGGGCUUAGUGUUUCCUCCUCAAUUAACUUAAUUAAGACGACCCUGUGCAGACAUGCCCACAUGUGACCCAAUACAAACAAUCCUUCCUGGAGCCUCUUCCAGGUGACUCAAGGAUGCAUCAAGUUGACAUCUCACUAAAUAUGACAAUUGUCAUCAUCCUUUUACUUUACUAGUUAUUUUUUUACCCCAGUAUGUACUUUCAUGGGAAAACGGCAUACAGAGGGUUGAGACCCUCUGUGGUUCUAGCCAUCUACUGGGACCAUGCCCCUGAGAACAAAGAGAACCACUGUAGUUUCAGGAAAAUCAUAGUCCUGGGUUUCACAUCCUUUCAAAUCAAAAUGCACUGAUCAGCACUGAGCUAAACCAGCUGCCCCUCCUCCCAGAAGUCAGAGAAGCCGAAUCACUGUGUGUGUGUGUGUGUGUGUGUGUGUGUGUGUGUGUGUGUGUGUGUGUGUGUGUGUUGGGGUUGGGGGACAAGUUCAAGAAAGUGAUUGCAAUGAAAGCUCCCAGCCCCGUUGCCAGCUGUCUCAUGACCCCAUGCCUACAGUGGCACCAGCUCUCCUGUGGGCAGCCUGGUUCUGCAGCUGGCUUCCUGCCCUGCUCUCCCUGAAGCAGGCUCUCACAGGGAUUAUUGCCGGGCAGCUUUCUCCCUUCCUGGAUGUGAGAGCCACUGCCGGCCCUCUGCACUCUCUUGGGAAGGCCCCACCCAACCUGUAGAGUUCCACAAAGCUUUCUGGAGUGGAGCCUAGGGAAACCGAGGUAGUGACUGACCCCAGGACUGACCUCUGGAGGCUGGGCCCUGCAAGUAGAUCCCUCUGCUUUCCCUGACACAGCAGCAACUUUUGGCCCAUCCAGCCCAAAGAAGGUAUUGCUGAUGCCGGGUAGAACCCCUGACCUGGACCCCUCUAAGACAAACAUGCAUCCAGUCAAGACCUGGGCCAAAAGGAAGACACACAUAGGUGAUCACAGAAGACCUUGACCGUGUUUAUUUGCAGGCAGGGGAUGACACUGGAAACCCCGAGAUGCAGAAGGUACUUGCUACUUAGGCUGAUGACACCACGGCGAUUUGGAUGAGACUAUAAUCAUUAGUACAUCUUACUGCUUCACAGGGCGAUGAGAUAGGAAACAGAACCCUGCUCAAUGGCUUUCAGCUGUACCUGGGCUCUUGUUUAUAGGUGCGCGUGUGCGUUUUCUCAAGCUUAAACUUUCAGAGUUAUGUAACCCUUCCCCUUGGCUAGCCACCAGACUUCCAGAUUAGCUGGAGGUUUCCUGUGCAAGUUGGGAGUUGGCAUGGGCAGAGCCAUGUGACCGUGGUGCUUCCUGGGUCUGGUAGGGGCUGCCCUGUAAGGAAGGGCCUGUCUGUGUUGUGGGUCAGAAGAUAAUAUCUAGCAGGCAGAGUAUGAUUCCUGACCCAGAAGAAUUCAGACCAGCAGUCAUUGUCAGUUCUCAAGCUGGAGCCAUCUAAAGUUAGAUGAGAAAAAAAAAAAAAAAAAAAAAAAAAAAAAAGACCCAUGCAUUGGUAGGAACUACUUAAAAGAAAAUAAAACAUUCCAGUUAUUCAAGGUCUCAUGUAAAUGGUGGUUCAACACUGUCUGGACAGGAGCUCUGUGGUUCCUGGAAGCAGUGUGUGGUAGAGCUCAGGUCCCGAAGGCCUCCCCUUCCUGUUGUCUAUCUCCUUCUAGCCACUGAUGAAUACCAGUGCUCUGGCUCCUUCUGUUGGGGUUUUGAUAUGGUGAGAGGGAGAUGAUGUGUCCACCAGACAUUCCAAACCUCUGUGUGUGGUGAUUCAUUUUACAUGGCGUCUUGGCCAAGGUGUCCAGAUGUUUGGUUUAAGCUCAUUCUGGGUGUGUCUAUAAAGAUAAAUUUGGGCUGUUUUAUUUCAUUUUGUUUGGGAUGAUACUAACAUUUAAAUUGUUGGACUUGAUGUAAAACUCUGUUUGUUGUUUAUAGCAUGGGUGGGUCUCUUCCAAUCAGUUGCAGGCUUUAGCAGAACAAAGCUCUAAGGAGGAACUCUGCCUGAAGACUGCUUUGGAGUUGUGUGACUUUUCCUGGGGAAAUGUGAACCAAUGUCUAUUAAUUUAGAUAGGGCACUGACAACUGACCAAAACAAUGCUUCCACUGAAGUCCAGCUUGGAGUUUGUUAUCGUUACUUACAGGAGUAUUGGUAAGGCGCUACUUACUGAAGCAUGGCUGACUCAAAGGCAUCUGCACCACCGAAAAGCUCCCCACAACACAAGACAUAGCCCUGGAGCUCCCUGCCCAACUUCUCCCCAGCAAUGACUGCUUAUAUAACCUUAUCUUUUAAGUUUCAGGCACAUUCUGAGAAUUUUGAGUUGUUUGCUUCCUCAACCUUGUAAGUUUUGUUAAUUUCCUGAGUCUGAAGGAGCCUCCCUUCUGAAUGGGAAGUUUCAAUUGGAAGGAAAUUACUAUACAGCAGGGCUCUGACUGAAACUCUUCCCAGGGUAUCCAGCUCCCACCCACCCCGAAGGCUUUGGACUUGAACCUCCUCCAUCAUCUGAGCUAACAAGAUAUUUAUUUAUAAAUAUUCAUAACCUAAUAGAUAUGUAUGUAUAAAUGUCUAUACACAUCUGAUCCAACACACACACACACACACACACACACACACACACACACACACACACACAUUCAAGUACCCUGAUGAAGGUGAACUAUCACGUUUCCUCUAAAACACAGAUUAGCUUGGCCUUCCAGCUUCCCAGGAACCUCUCUGACUCCUUUCCCUAAAAUUCCCAGUGAAAGGCUGUAGAACCACAAAACACCAGCCAGGCAAGUUCCUCCAAACACAGAGGUCCAUUAGGCAUUCUUGCUUCUUUGCCUUCUUAGAGUACAGAGAAAGACAGCCCCAGCACAUGGGGAGCACAGGAAUUUUGCAAUCCAAGGGAAACAUCAAGUGCAGGACUUUCCCUGCCACUCUGAUAGUAUCCCCUUUCCCUAUUUAUACUGAGAACUCAACCUGGACCCUCACACAUGUCAGGUGAGAGUUGAGCCACUGAGCCAAUCCCCAGGCCCAUAGGGUCCCAUUAAAAGUGCCACUCACAGCUGGGCAGUUGUGGCACCCACCUUUAAUUCCAUUAUUUAGGAGGCAGAGGCAGAAGGAUCCCUGAGAGUUUGAGGCCAGCCUGGUCUACAGAUCGAGUUCCAGGACAGGCUCCAAAGCUACAGAGAAACAAGUGCCACUCACUUAAAGGUUUCAGGUUGGGUUCUAGUCUUUGCAAAAUCUUGCCCACUUCUGAUUUGUCCUAAUCCAAAGUUGAAGCCUCCCAGCGGUCCAGUGAGAACCCAGGAUCUUCACACAGCUCUCCAACAUCAAGACCCAAUGAGGCUGUCAGUGACUCUGCUCCUGCCCCCAACUGCCACUUACUACUAAGCCUCCCUACCUUCAAGGUUUAUACUGCUUAAAAUGUCACAAACAUCUGCAGGUGUCUAUGUCUACAUGCGGGUAUGUGAGCAUGCAGCCAGAGACUUUGGGUCCCCUGGAGCUGGAGUUACAGUUGUGAGCCACCUGAUGUCGAUGUCAAGAACUAAACUCAGGUCCUCUGGAAGAGCAGCACAAACUCUUAACCGCUGAGUCAUCCCUUCAGGCUCUAGUUAUUUUUUAUUUUUUAUUUAAUUUAAUUAAAAAUAUUUUGGGUGUGUAUGUAUGCAUGUGCUUGUGUGUGUGAGCACCUGCUUGCUUCAGGUUUUAUAAAGGUUUUAUAAAGAUCAGAGGUCAACUUUCAGGGGUCAGUUCUCAUAACCCACCUUGUUGGAGGCAGAAACUCUUCUGUUUGUGAACUGUAGUGACUACUUCAGGCUAACUGGCCAUUGAGCUUUCAGAGGGGGUGGUUCCCCUGUCUCAGCCCCCCACCUCACCAUAGGAGUGCCGGGUCACACAUGCGUGCUACUGAAUCCAGCUGGUACAUGUGGGUUCUAAGGAUCCAAAACUCUUACCCACGAGCCACCUUCCUAGCCGCCAAAUUUUCAACAAUGAUUUCCCACACAUUUACUAGCCGAUGUCCCACACGUCUCUGUCAGUAAAAACCUUUCUUCUCCUGUUUGCUGCAUUGUUAAUUCAUCCACUUCUGGAGUAUGAACUCACAGAUUUUUUUUUAAAUUGUGAAACAAAUGUUUAUUGGAAUUUUUCAAAUUAGUUGUACAAUUAACUCAUGGUAAGUUACCGGGCAGAUUUUAUAUUAUUUCUUUAAGACUACCGUUUCUCAGUGACUUCAAACUUUAAGUUUUCAAAUUUGAAGGUAGGAGAAGCUCUGCUCAGCUCUUGCUACUACUCUGGGGCAGUAGCAGCAGGUUCCCUAAUGUCUGGCUUUGAUACGGACUCUCUUACCCCAUCAGUGAUGAGUUUCUCUACAGGAACAAUUUCCUUAUUAAAUACUACUGCCAUCACACAAAUGUUCCUCAACAAGUGCUCAGAGACAGCCCAGCAAAGGACAGUGGAGAGCCCUCAGAGCCUCAGAAGACCAGUGUCCUGUGGUGCUUGCACUGAGUCCUGAUCUGCCACAGGUGCCACCACAAUUCUAGACAUGUUUUUUCAAUGGCUUAGAAUUCACUUCUUCCCUCCCCAUGUUGGUGCUUAAGUUGCUCCAGGACUGGCUGGUAGAAGCCCCCUCCUCUGUUCUUGUACUUGCCCCCUAUCAUGUUUAAAGUUCUCACUCAGUGUAUGACAAAACAACAUUUAGCCAAAGAAAGGAAAAAAAGAGAAAGCCAUGGGAGAGGUAGAGAGAGACAAAGAGGGGCUAUGUGAGGAGAUUGACAGCACAGGGGCAGACUAGGGGCCUUCUGUGAGAAGCGGCCCGUCCACCAUGACUUAAAGGCCAGAGUGCUGCAUAUGAGAGGCAUUGGUGGCUCCUGCACUCUGACACCAUUCUUGACAGUUAUAAAUGAUGCAGGCACAACCCAAGAGGGACUGGGGAGUGGAGAGGGGAAUGAUCCUCAGUUUUUGGCAUCCAUUCAAGCAUCUAGACACAACUUUAUUUGAAAUGAUUCCAUAUUUUUCAAUUGUAUAUACAUGUCUGUAUAUAGUAUACACAUAAAAAUAUAUGCAUAUAAUAUAUAUUAUACAAGUAUAUCACACACACAUAUAUUUGGUCUAAUGUAUAUUUUCAUUCUUCGUAUGCCCUCCACCCCCAGCUCUGCUCGACUUUUUACUGUGUUGACCUUGUUUUGGCUAGCCUCUUCUCCCAAGGAAGCAAGAGUCCCUCCUGAGCAAUUCUAUAUUAACCAACAAAAAGAAGCCUCUUUGCCAUGGCUGGGACAAAAGUCCUUCAGUGUCUGUGACUAGCUCAGAGCCUUUCUACACCUGGUUGGGUAGCACUCUCCUGAGCCAGGCCUGGGCUAUGAACUCUCCUGUAGAACAGGAAGUGUGGGUGAAGCCUGCCAAAACACACAGGCUGGAAGCACAGAGAUGGCCAGCUCACCCAAGAACUCUGGAGUGCACUUACCACAAUGAGAAAGGAAAAUUUGGAAACCUGACUGAAAAAAUCUCAUGCAUUGUGUGGGGAACACCGGGCAUGAUGACUGUGAGAUUGGCUGAUAAACCAAGGUGUAGCCAUUUUGUCAGGACAGCCCUUCCUCCCUCUGCACAAGACCCCUUAUAAGAAAGAAGCCCCUGAAGCACCCUUGGAGAUUGAAGCCCCUGUCCAUCUGUCCUUGCUGCUGGCCUGGGGACAGAUGACAGAACUGCCAGAGAGAGGAUGAAAAUAGGUCCAGCCCUUCUUCCUAAGGAAGCUUUCCAUCAAGACGGGCUCCUGUUUCAUCAUUUUCUCCUCUGCCUGGCAGGUCCCACAGGGACGUGUCUGUCACAGUGCUGUGUUACGUCAUGUCAGAUGGCAAUCGAAGGAGCUGUUAACUUAAGCUGACAGAGAGCUGUGGCAAUCUGCUUAUCUGGCUGCCACCCUCACUGAGUAAAGGGCCAUUAUCAGAAUUAUUCACACAGUGUUACAGCAGCUGCAAGUCUACAUUACAUCACCCUCACUUUAGUCACUCAGCACAAAUGGGACCUCAAAGGAGACUGCCCCCCCCUCCAUGAGAGGCCACCCUUCCCCUACACACCCAACAAGAAUGUGACAUCACAUUAGGUCAACCUCCAGUGUGCCUUUCUGUGCCCAGGAUCUACCUUCUGUGUUCCUUCCACAGGUGUGAGCAGUCACACAUGAGACCCCUGUUGAGAUGCCUUCCAAUUAGACCUGUUCUUGGAAUGGUCCUUCCAAUGCUGGUGUUCAGUGGUCCAAAGCUAUUCCACUGACCUGUAAACUUCAGACUGGUCUUCCACAAGUGCUGUGUGUUUCACACAAGGAUUGCAAAGGAGAAAACACAAUGUUCUUAGGUCGAGGCUCUUUCAAGAGUCCAUAGACCCUCCCCAGCUUGCUCACAUGAAGCCAACCAUGAUCUCCACCCUGGACACACCCCUCCUACGCCUCCUCCUCCAACAAGCCUCCACCUGCAAGGCAAACACACUCAAAGUUCACCCGACACACGCACAUUCCCAUGCAAACCCAACAAAAUUGAUGGCAGAAACUGUGGGAAAGAGGCAUGAAGAGAGAAUGUGGUUAACAAGGUGGGUUCUGAGGCGUGGGCUUCUUCAUUGCUACAAUCCAAUAAUAACAUGAAAGAAUAACACAGACUGAACUGGAAGGCAAGCAGGGCAGGAGGAAGAUCAAGGAUUAGAGGGGAUGGUAGAAAGUCUCUUUAAUCUGUUUACUGGCUUAGUCUCAAAACAUGUUUCAAAGUGCAGCUAUGUCCUAUAUUAAACAACACUUCAGAGCCGGGUAGCAGCUCUCACCUCCCCCCCACCCCCCGGUUUGCCUGCCCCAGAAAACAGUGCCUUCGAAGAUGUCUUCUCUCAUUGGCUCAGGGUGGACAUCUUAAUGUUCAUGUGACAUUUCCUAGGUGUGUCUCUGUGUCCCAACUACCCCCUUGGAUACAGAUACCCAGCCUAAUCUGAUUAGGGCCUACCCUGGUGACUUCAUUGUGAUUCGAUCACAUCUGUAAAGACCAGAUAUCCAAAUAAACUCGCUUUCUGAGGUACUGAGGCACAGUGGACAUCAAUCCAGAUCAAGGGGGUGUGGGUAUGGCACAGAUCCGGCCAUGAUGCUCUGGUUUCCCAACCUGGUACUGACACAUCAUCACUUUUCCUUCAAGUCUUUUCAGUGUCUGAAUACAUCCGACAGACUGCCAUCUAUAGCUUAUGGGAAGAUCUUGAAAUGGGAGGCAUCAUGAGACCAAAGACCUGGGCUUUCUCUCCCUCAAGAUCUUAAAGCUACUGGCUGCUGAAGGCCGGAAGGAGUUCUGAGCCCCUCAAGGCUAUGAAGUGCCCCAGUAGAGGUCUUCUUUCUUCAGGUCUCCUCAGCUGAACUCUGAGUAGUUUGUGGCUAUGACAACUGUCCCACAAGGAUGUUUGUUUUGGCGACUUUCUGUCACUAUGACAAAAUACCCCCAAAUAAGCAACUUACAAGGAGGAAAGUUUGUUUGGCUUGUGGUUUCAAUCUACAGUCCCAUGCUCUUGGUCCUAUAGCAAGACAGAAUAUCGUGGUGAACUGCAAUGGUGCAGGAGGCUGAAAGGAGAGAGAGAGAGAGAGAGAGAGAGAGAGAGAGAGAGAGAGAGAGAGAGAGAGUAGCCCCAGGGUCCUAAUAUCCCUCUCAAGGCCAUGUCUUUGAUGACCUAUCUUUCUUCUACUAGGUAUUAUGAUAAAUCUUGAGGGGGACCUUGGUGGAUUCCAUGGGGGACAAACACCCCAGGCAGACAGAGCUUAAGUGAAAAGUUUUAUUAGAAAGGGGAGGGAGGGGGAAGGAAAGAGAAAAGAGGUAAAGAGACACAGAGACAGAGAGAGGACAGAAGAGAAGGGGGAGACAGGAAAAGUCCUGUCUGCCCCAAGGGAACCACAGGGAAGAGAGAGCAGGAAAGAGAAGAGAGCAGAAAGAGAGGGAAAGAGAGCAUAAGUGGGUGGGGGUCUUUCUUUUAAAAGGUCCUUUGCACCUUCGUGCAGACUACACAAUCAUGGAACCCUGGGCUGACCAGGGUACUGCCUGAGUGCAUUCUGCCAGGUGACAGGGGCAGGCCAGCAUAAUGCCUGAAUCCUUACAUUAGGUCCCAUCUCCCAGAAGUUUCACUGUCAUCUGAUAGCACCAUAGGCUGGGGCCAAGCUUCUAACACAUGGAACUCGGGGAACAUUCCAGGCCUGAACCACAGCACAGCUGUAGGGCGGCUGGUGUCUCUGAGCAUGACUCUCCUUUGGAUGUUCCCUGCUUAUUUUAGUUAAAAAGAGCAUCAUGAGACUGUGACACCGUCUCGCUGGAUUCAGGUGACUUUCACUUUUUGAAGCAGUGAACUGAUGCUCCUGACUUGGGCUUUGCAACUGGGGUAUAUGGAUGACCCUGCUUGCUUUAAUUACAUCCCCCAAGCAAGUGAGCGAUGGGGAGCCUCCCUCUCUUCUCCCCUUCAUGGCCCCAGACAAGAAAAACCAAGUCUAUGUGUGCUGAGAAGCCUUCUCCCUGCUCCACAGCGCCCCACUUUGCACCCCUAUUCCCCACCCCUCCCCCAGCCAUGAGUAAACUUUUUGAGCUAGUUCCUGUUUCAUCUUCUUCCUGUUAAUUAACACGAAGUACCUGGUGCUGAGAAGUGCCCGGCUAUUUAGUUCAGAGCAGACAAGUCUAAACACAGGCCUACCAACUACAGGAGGAAAAAGGAUUGGAGGGGAGACUUGGCUCAUGGAUCCAGGGGCUCCAACAUUAGAGAGAAGGGCUUCUAGAAGUAUCACCUGCCCUUUGUCGCUUGUCCCAGCUUCUCAUUCGCUUCCUGAAUCACCCACACAAGUUCUAGCCUUUGCUCAUGUAGGUUUUACAGAACAGUCACCAAGACAGCAUUCUCUCGUAGCAAGCAGGGCUUUCCAGAGGGUAUGCCCUUCACACCUUGUGUGGACACAGGAGCAGUGUGGAGCUAGAGAGGAGUGGGCAGAGGGAAGGGUCAGGCAGCUGGGAUGAGGGACAAAGGGACCCCCAGAGAGGGACUUCACUUGCUUGGGAAUUCUGCCCCGAGGACAGCCUUGCUCUGUGGCUACUGAUCAAAAAAUGUCAACUUGAGGUCACUUUAGUCACUGCCGUCUGCCAACAAGGACAAAGGCCAUUCUGUGGCCAGGGAGCCCAAGGCAAGAGGCUGGGUGUGGAGGAGGGAUGUCUGUGAUGAUGCUCCCAUAAAAACGGACUUCAGUGAGUGGAACCGGCUUUCCCUGAGAAGAGGAACCUGGUGCAAAGGGUCUUAAUGUCUUCUCUGCUUUACCGCAACACAGUCAUGGAAAGAAAAAUGUGUGUGUAUCAGGAUUUCCUGGGUACAUUUGCCUUCUAAGAAGCCUCACGACCUGAGGGUGACACGUGGCCAUCCAAAGAGUCUUUGUUUCAUUCUGAGAAAGUCCUCCGAGGGGAGUUAACUUAGUGCUUUCUGUUUCAGCUGCUGAUACAAAAUUCAGGGGUGUAGGUCCCUGGUAAAGCCCUACUUAGCAUACACAAGGCCCUGAAUUAAAAUACCAUCACCCCCGAAAUGAAACAAACAUGAGUGAGGACUUUAAAUCAACCAAUAAUAAGGCACUCCAUAAAUCUGCAUAUUCUGAGACUUGACUAGGAUGUGGUCACACAGCCUGGUUCCCUGCAGUCUCCAAAUCACAAAACCAGUUUCCUGUGUGCAAGGCAUUUGCAUCUGAGGUGAAGAUUUAUAGGAGAUGGCCACCAGAUGGUGUCUUGGUUCUCCUCAAGCUAUAUUCUGCUCGGCUUUACUCUCUUGUUGAGAGCAGACAUUAUAACAUUUCUUUGGGAAGAACAGUCAAUUCCAGGGGAGAUGGUGGGACCCCAGGAGCCACAAGUUAUCAUUUUAUUUAAUCAGUCUGACAAGACUCCAGGCUCAUAAACACAGGAAAGACACAGCCAUUGGCCAGGAGUUAAUGGAAGAGCAGAUUUCUUCACACAGUGGGAUGCAGCCAUUAAAGCCCUAUCGGCUCCCGACAUGCAAACCUGACUCAGGGCUAAUUGCUCCCCACUGGCAUGUCGAUGCUGGAUUCAGAGCGUCUGGGCAAAGUCGCUGAAGAGGGACCGAGAACUCCUCAAUCUUACAUAAACCUCAAUGACUUUCAAAACACGUUUUUAUUUCUCUUCUCCCUUUUUCUCUUAAGACAGGAUUUCACCUAUUUGAACUCCUAGCAGUCCCCCUGUCUCAGCCUCCCAAGUAUUGGGGUUUUAGGCAUGUGCCACAAUGCCCUGAUGAAUCAUUUGAGUUUUAAAAUUGCUUUUCAACAGCUGAUAGGACUUGUUUCUCUUUCAGUAUAAAGCAGGAAUUUAAGUUGGAAGACUUACAAAAGAGCUUGGUGACUGGGACAAUGUACUUCUUACUGUUUUUCUCAAAGACAGAAGCUGGCCCAGAUUACAGGCUCAAUUUCUUACUCUGCCUAUGGGGGAGGGAGAGUUGGGGAACUCUGACUGAAGGGGGCGGAGUGGUGUUCCUGAAGGGGGGUGGUGUUACUGAAGGAGGGGGAAUCUGUGUUAUUGCAGGGGUGGUGUUACUGGAGAGAGUGAGCAGACCUGCUCCCAGAUGCUUCCAGAUGAAUAUGAGUCUCUAAGUGCAGUGGGGGCAGGGUUAACAAUGACCUUGCAGUUUGAGAUUCUGUUCUCUGGUGAAACAGUUCCAUUUGCCUCCUUGGACUCGGCUUUUCCUCCUUGGAAGUCGAUGAUGUGUAAAUGUUACACUGCUUUCUUACCUGCACUCACAUGCCCCUUAGACGUUAAGAUGGAAGAAUUUUUGUCUCCACUACUUCCCCUUCACUUCCCAAGUCUCCAGGCAUCAGAGUCCCAUUUCCACUCUCCAGGGUUUGUCUCAAAGCAUGGAGAUGUGGCAGGCAUCGUUAGUGUGACCAGCAUGUCUCUUAAGCUAGCUAUAGCUAAGAGUCAUUCACUGAGGACAACUCUGUGACUUCUCAGGGCCCCGGGAUUUCCCGACAUGCCUGUUGUGAGCUCAUCUGUGCUUCCGACUGGUUCUCCUUGAAAAGCCUAUGUGGAAGCCCAAAGCCUGAGUCUGUAGGAAGGCAGCUGUCACAAUUAGGAGUCUAUCUGAACAAGCCACGCCCAGUUUAUUUUCAGUAAUGGGCAUGAGGCUGUCUAUCCAAGGCUUCCCCCAGAGUCUUUAAAAGGGGGUUUGAAUGGGUAACAACUGUCUCUGGCAUUGAUUUAAAAAAAUCCAUGCUGGCUGGGCGUUGGUGGUGCACGCCUUUAAUCCCGGCCCUCAGGAGGCAGAGGCAGACAGAUCUUUGUGAGUUCGAGGCCUGCCUGGUCUACAGAGUGAGUGCCAAGACAGGCUCCAAAACUAUACAGAGAAGCCCUGUCUCGGAAAAAAAAAUCCAUACUGGUGUGGCAAGUAUCUACUUCUUAUAAUUGUUUUGGGUGCCCGUUCUGUCUCUUUUCAAGGAAAGAACUGAUUAGAACCGCUGAGUAGACCCAGGGUCUCCUAUCAAUUGAGCAGUGGCUAUGGCAAUACUGUGCCCUUAGGAGUCAAACCUACCGGCUAAGCUCUUAGCUUUGCCACGUGGAAGCUGUAAGGGUUUGCACCAUUUUACCACUGGGAACACUUUUCCAUUUCAUUCCCACGCCAGUCAGGCAGGGCUGCGGGGAAAUUGGGCUUCCCCCUGGAGCGCCUGCAAGCUGAUGGUACGACUGGCUGUGCGCCAUCUGCUGGUAGGUGGAGGUAAACCGACUCUUUAGGAGACGGGUGCACCUUUAGGGCAACAAGGACUUUUCAAGGAUUUCAUCUUGCCCUCUGAUUUUCUUUGAAAGAAAUUCAGAAUUAAAGGGGAUGACAGAUUUGACUGAGUUCUCACAGUAGUAGAGUCUGGAGGUUAAGAGCAAGUAUCUUGGCGUCUUCUAGUCUAAAUCCCGCCUUGGCAGGCAAGAAUGAGUGUAACCUUGGGCAAAUUUCGAAACUUCUCACUAAUCAGUUUCCUUAUCUAUCAAAUAAGGAGCAUAAUGCUCACCACCUCAGGGUUUUUAAAGAAGAUUAAAUGAGGCAGUGCAUGUGGAAGUGCUUAGCACUUUGUCUGACCCCCGUAUGAAGCAUACUGCUAGAACAUUCUUUAUCCGGCAGCUGAUGAUUUGUAUUGACAAUUUUUCUUAGGGACGACAGUAUUCAAAUUAGUUGUUUAGGUUUCAAAAUAAGAGAGUGAAGCACCCCAGACAGCAUGGAAGAAGAAAACAGCAGGCAGACAGGUGUUUGGCGUUAAUGAAAGGGGUUUUGGGAGCCAUCAUGGGUCAAAUUCAUUGCCAUGGACUAAACAGGCUGAGUGAAAGAGGAAGGGGACCUGAGCAUGGGACUUGUGUCCCAGAGUAAAGAGGCUGGUGGGGGCAGACAGAAAGUCUCACCUGGCUCCCAAGAGACCCACUGGAACCCCCACAGUCUAGACUCUUCUGCAGCUUCCUCUGGUUUUGUAAUAUUGACAUUUAGAAAGACCACUUUCUCAGAGCUAUAAAGACUAUAGCCUUCAAGGAGGCUUGAAUAUUUCCAAUCCUUUGUGAUCUGGCCAGGAACUCUGUUGACCUGAAGUCUGGAAGCAAACACUCUAUUCCACCUCUUCUCCUGUUCGCUAGUUGAGACAUUCUGAGUGUCUGGUCCAGGUCAAGGAGUAAGAGCCUAAACCAAGCAUCAGUAGAUGCCAGCCUCACAGGGCACAGAUCAGGGCAAAAUGGGUCUGAGAGGAAAUGCAGACAAUCUCGCAGAUCUGAUAGCUCUGUGUGGGUGUGCAGAGGAAGCUGGCAGACAAAUACUAUCUGUACUCAGGUUGGAGAUGUUCUUUAUGGCCUCCUGCGAUGCUUGUAUUUUUCUGGUACUAUUUUCUUUUAUUUGUUUCGGGUUUGGAGGAUGGGGUCUCAUGUAGCCCAAGCUGGUCACAAAUUUUCUAUAUAGCUGAGGUUAGCCUUGAACUCCUGAUCUCUUUGCCUCUGCCUUCAGAAUCCUGGCAGUUAUAGACAUGCACUAUCAUACCCAAUUUGGCACUAUUUUUUAACUGUCACACACAUGCACACAUUAAAAAAAAAUCCUUCUCCUUGUUCUUAGGGUGUGUAUGACACAGUAUCCAACAUGCUUGGAGUUUUAGACACUUAGGGGGAAUGAAUGGGGAGACAAACAAUUGUGCCUUUGAGAACACCCCCCUGCCCCCACCACCAUGUUUUUCAGCAGACAUCCUUCUAUGCUGGAUCUGUAGAGCACUGAGGAAGAAGAGAAGAAAAUGAAGGUGAAAUGGGUGUGCAGAGAGGGCAAGAAGACAGCUCCAUGGCCUACAGCAGCAGCAUGGGUAGUUUUCUUCACUCUCUUUUUCCUAGGCCAUGGAUGCACUCAUUUAAUCCAUUAGUAUUUGUUGAGAAUACCAUCUGUACCAGGCACUAUGCCAAAUGCUGACAAACAGCGCAUAGGCUUGCCUAAGGAGUUCCACAAUCUGUGCCAUCGACAUCCUGGUACCGUCUACACCAAGCAGUUCACUCCCCACAGUGACACCAGCUUCCUGGCAGAGGCCUGUCCUGGCCAAAGUAGGGUUCUGAAAAUUUAGGAAUGGUUCGGCAUGUACUGAUUCAGAAACACAGUUGGAAGACAACUAGAUGAGGUAGACGAGGAAGGUGAGAUGGAGUCAGCCAAAAGGCUUCUUGGGAAAAUCUUGAAAUAGGAGGACCCAGGGUCUGAUUCUGGGGGUCAAGGCAAGGCAUAUGCAGGAGGCUGGGAGAAGCAGGCAGUACCACACUUGGAAGGACAUAGGGGCAGAUAGCAGCUCUUUACCUUACUCUAAAGUGUGUCAUAUUUCCAUGAAGAAGAAACCUAAAAAACACCAAGAUUUUUAUGUUUUAUUUUUAUGUAUAUGAGUUUUGCCUGCAUGUAUAUGCACCACGUGCCUGCCUGGCACCUGUGGAAGUGGAGAUGGGUGAUCGUGAGCCACUAUGUAGUGCUGAGAGUUGAACCUGGGUCCUCUACAAAAGCAACAAGUAUGCUUAACUGCUGAGCCAUCUCCAGCAACAGCAGCUUUUAGCACAGUCAUAGCUUAGAUUAGCCAUAGUGAUAGUAAGAUACCUACCUGGUGGCUGAGAAAAGGAGCAGGGGUUUCUUUCAGUAAGUUGCAAGAUCAGUGACAAAGGCCUGACUUGGUGUCAAUCACAGAUGAGAUACAAGGGAUGCCACCUUCCCUAAAGUGAGGUCUAGGGAAGAUGGCAUCCAGGAAUGUCACUUUCAGCAUCUGCCCCAGGUCACUAGAUUUUUCAAUUUGCACUGUGCUAAUUCAGUGUAGGCAGGGCAAGAGCUCCCUCUCAGUGGACAUUUGCUCCAGAGCACUGAGCUUCUCUCUGUGCACCAAUUCAUAAUUGGUAUUGGAGAGCAACUGUGGUCUUGGAGCGGGGGUGUUCUCAGCAACCCUGAAUGCCAUCAGAGUGUGUUGGAAUACACUGUAGCUGCAGCGCCAUGGGAAGACGUGCUCUCAGGGUCUAAGGUGGGAUCUGCAAGGUGUUUCAAUAGGAUAGUCCAUAGGUCUAGGUGCCUUUUCUAUUGAUUUGUUAUACUGGGGGUUGAAUUCAUGGCCAAACGCUUGCUGGGAUAGUGUUCAAAAAAAAAAAAAAAAAAGGCAAAUGAAAGAAUUUUAUUUUAAGACAAGCUCUUUCUGAGUUGCCCAGGCUGGUCUCGAACUUACAAUUCUUCUGCUUCAGGUUCCACCUGCUACUACCUGGGGCAUGCACCACUACACCUGGCUUCUGAUGCUUCUCAGUCUGAGCCUCACUCAGGUGAAGGGGGCUCUGGCUCCAUUGUUUCUCCACCUUCCACCUCUGAUGAGAUGACUGUGUUGUCACAUUCUUCCUGGGAGCUGAUGUGGAACAGGCUGAAGUAAAACAUGCUCCGCAAACCCACUCAGCAAGCUCACCUGGUUUCCUUCCGACUGGCUGCCUGUGUGAGACGUCACCUCCUCCACUGACAGGACUUCCUCCAUUGACAGGAAGGCCCUUUCCCCACCAGAACAGAAGUCACAACAGAUUACUUCAAGGUGAAAAAUUCUGAAGACUCUUGGGAAUUUCUUCAAUUAGACCAGGACAAAGAAAACAAAGCUAGGAAAUAAAAUGGGACUUAAAACUUUGCUGUGUGAAUGUGCGGGGGUUGACACGUCUAUAGCAAUUCUAGAGAAGGACCGUCAUGCAUUGCCCUAGUGCGCCCCUUUGGGGCUGGGCUAGUUUGAUUCAAGAUGCUAAUGGCAUUAUUUUUAAAGCUAAACCUGACAAUGUAAAGUUCUAGUUUUAUAAAAUCUGCUAACCUAUUGUAAGAUGUUAAAAAUAUAAAUUAAUACAGUUUUUAUGUUUUCAGAAGUUAAGCUUAAGCAAGCAACUAAAAUGUGUACAUGUAGCUACUGUUUAAAGAAUAUAAGGUAACUCUAUAUGCAAUUUAAAUUCAACUGUGCUAGGUUUCAGAUAUUUUACUAAGUUAAAACCAGUUACGGUCAGACUGAAAAUUAAUUAAUUACAGAAAUAAGGCCUUACCUAGCCAUCUAUGUGCUUAAGGCAAGUAACUAAACAGACAGACCUCUAAUGCUUCAGAGACCUGCAGAAUAUGGCAUUUAAAAGUUGUUUUAAAAGUUUAUAAUAUCAGACAGACCAACAAAUCCUGACAAUGACCCAUAGUCUCCAAAGAAGAUUAUGAGGCACCCCAGUUCCUGCACCUGGAUGAUGACAACGACGCUGACCAGUGAGCAAGAUGCUCAGAUGCAAUACCUACUGCCUGCCAGGACUUGACCAAGACUGUGGACAAAACUGCUAGACACUGAAAAAUUGAUUGCAGCCCCUAUGCCUAGACAAAACAAGGUCAGUCUUUUCCAUGUCCCUCUUCCACAGAGAGAAAAAAACUCUCACCUUAUAGGCCUGGUGAAGACUGCUGUUCUUUGAGACUCCUGCCUCCAAUGCUGGUGGAGACUUGGCUAACUGUAUAUGGACUGGCCCCUGUCACUUUUUAAUAGACUCUGAAACUGUAUAAAAUUUACCCUUCUCAGAUCUCUGAAAGUAUUAAUGGUUGUCAGCUUGACAGCGUCAGGCAGUCAGAUCCACUACAGACUAUAGUUGGCUUGGUAGCUGAUAAAGUAAUGACUGCCUACUGUUCAGGCACAAGCUCAAGGUUUUUAGGUUUAUUUUGGUUGUCAUCUAAGUAUAAACUUAAAGGGCUUUUCAUCAGGCCAAAGGUACCUCUGUCCAAUCCAUACCUGGCUCUCUGGACAGAAGACAAAUGUACACGUUUCUAGCCCAAAUUUAUAGUUUUUGCCAGGACUCAAAAUAUAUGUUCCUGCUGUUUGAACAGAUAACUGGUUUUUUUUGCACUGUGGGUUUCAAUAAAUAAGUUUUAACUUCUGUUCCCAGUUUCAACAUGUCUUAAACAGGUUUCUACUUCUGGCAGACACAACUGAGUAUCAGUUGUUGACUACAGCCUGCCCCUAAAGAACUGCGAGCCCUGGACUUGCUGUGGAUGUGAACCAGUCCAGCUGAGGUGGACACCCCCUAUCUCUUCAACAGAGUCUGCCAACCAGCUGCUUCCCCAUUGCCUGAAUUCCCUUUUUGCUUUUGACUAGCAUUUCAGCCUUUUUGGGUCCCUAACUUCAUCCCAAAGUCGGCAGGAAGUAGCAUGGGAAAGAAUACAUAGCCCAUUUUCUCUAGUUGAAAUACUAAAUCAAAAUAAACUCCCUUACAUAGGGGAUGCCAAUAUCACUCACUCUCUGAUGGGGACGCUGGAGAGACAGCAAUUCCAUAAUUGGAAUCUCCAAAAAGAAAAUGGGGGAAUGAAGGGAUCAGCUCCCCGUUUUGGCAGCCAUAACAGCCUAACAAGUGCUUGCCUGACCUUGCCUUGGUCACUAGGAGGUCAGAUGCCUGCCUCAUGGCAAGGAACCAAACAGAAGUUAGAUGGUGGUGCUAUGCUUUACGGCUAUGGGUGUGCUUUACAGACAAGUGCGCAGCAAUGACGUGCAGAGCAUAGCCCUGGGAGGGCCUAUGUGCCAUGACAGCCAACUGGCCAAUCAACACAGGGCAAGUCCUCCAAUCCUGAAGGCACACCAAUCCUGAGCCUGUGCGUACCCUUAGACACUCCCCUUAUGCUUUCCUAUAAGAUCUCUGUCCCAUGGUUUCUCAGGGUCUUUUCCCAGCCAUCCGCCGUGUUGGAUGGGUGAAAGGCCUGAGCUAAUGGGGUUAGCUCCUUAAACAACUGCAAUAAAUCCUUUUGCUGUUUGCAUCAAGCUUUCCACCUCCGUGAGUGAUUGGGGUCGCUGCAGUCCUGGG
rnacentral:lncRNA from 1 species